rnacentral:rRNA from 1 species
CCUACGGGAGGCAGCAGUGGGGAAUAUUGCACAAUGGGGGAAACCCUGAUGCAGCGACGCCGCGUGAGUGAAGAAGUAAUUCGUUAUGUACAGCUCUAUCAGCAGGGAAGAAAAUGACGGUACCUGAGUAAGAAGCCCCGGCUAACUACGUGCCAGCAGCCGCGGUAAUACGUAGGGGGCAAGCGUUAUCCGGAUUUACGGGGUGUAACGGGAGCGUAGACGGCAGUGCAGGUCUGGAGUGAAAGGCGGGGGCUCAACCCCCGGACUGCUCUGGAAACUGUACGGCUGGAGUGCAGGAGAGGUAAGUGGAAUUCCUAGUGUAGCGGUGAAAUGCGUAGAUAUUAGGAGGAACACCAGUGGCGAAGGCGGCUUACUGGACUGUAACUGACGUUGAGGCUCGAAAGCGUGGGGAGCAAACAGGAUUAGAUACCCUAGUAGUC